rnacentral:lncRNA from 1 species
GAUAAGAGGCCUAAUUAAAACAAAGAUGCUGGUGCGUCGGGCCUAGGACGGGUCGGAUCCGACCCAGCUCCGGUGCCAUCAAUACGACAUAACAUGGGAAAAACCUAAAACAAAAUAGCCAUCCGUUUCACCUCAGCAGAAACGCGGCCGCUUCAACCGCUUCAGAUACAUAACCUUUCUUCCACUUCUUUCAAGAAACAAACAUGUAGGUUCUAUCCAAAAUUUAAACGACAAAAAUAUGAAACUCCAAAGAAGUAACAUCACGAUCCAGUCCUA